GAUGAACGCUAGCUACAGGCUUAACACAUGCAAGUCGAGCGGGAACCGGGCCUUCGGGCCCGGGGACAGCGGCGAACGGGUGAGUAACACGUGGGUAAUCUGCCCUCGGUACUGGGAUAGCCCGGGGAAACCCGGAUUAAUACCGGAUAGCCCUUCGAGCCUUCGGGCUCGCAGGAAAAGGUAGCUUCGGCCUCCGACCGAGGAUGAGCCCGCGGCGGAUUAGCUUGUUGGGGGGGUAACGGCCUACCAAGGCGACGAUCCGUAGCUGGUCUGGGAGGACGAUCAGCAACACGGGGACGGAGACACGGCCCAGACUCCUACGGGAGGCAGCAGUGGGGAAUCUGGCCCAAUGGGCGAAAGCCUGAGGCAGCGACGCCGCGUGCGGGAAGAAGGCCCUCGGGUUGUAAACCGCUUUCAGGAGGGACGAAGCCACUCGGGUUAAUAGCCCAGAGGGUGACGGUACCUCCAGAAGAAGCCCCGGCUAACUACGUGCCAGCCGCCGCCGUAAUAC
rnacentral:rRNA from 1 species